rnacentral:ncRNA from 3 species
GAGAGCCGUAUACACCGAGAGGUGUACGUACGGUUCGGGGGCGAGGUCACGGAAACCUGCUGUAGCAAUGCAGUAAGGCGCCGUUGACCUUAGCCUAC